GAGUUUGAUCCUGGCUCAGGAUGAACGCUGGCGGCGUGCCUAAUACAUGCAAGUCGAGCGAACGGAUAAGGAGCUUGCUCCUUUGAAGUUAGCGGCGGACGGGUGAGUAACACGUGGGUAACCUACCUAUAAGACUGGAAUAACUUCGGGAAACCGGAACUAAUGCCGGAUAACAUAUAGAACCGCAUGGUUCUAUAGUGAAAGAUGGUUUUGCUAUCACUUAUAGAUGGACCCGCGCCGUAUUAGCUAGUUGGUAAGGUAAUGGCUUACCAAGGCGACGAUACGUAGCCGACCUGAGAGGGUGAUCGGCCACACUGGAACUGAGACACGGUCCAGACUCCUACGGGAGGCAGCAGUAGGGAAUCUUCGCAAUGGGCGAAAGCCUGACGGAGCAACGCCGCGUGAGUGAUGAAGGUUUUCGGAUCGUAAAACUCUGUUAUUAGGGAAGAACAAAUGCGUAAGUAACUGUGCGCAUCUUGACGGUACCUAAUCAGAAAGCCACGGCUAACUACGUGCCAGCAGCCGCGGUAAUACGUAGGUGGCAAGCGUUAUCCGGAAUUAUUGGGCCGUAAAGCGCGCCGUAGGCGGUUUCUUAAGUCUGAUGUGAAAAGCCCACGGGUCACCCGGGGAGGGUCAUUGGAAACUGGGAAACUUGAGUGCAGAAAAGAAAGUGGAAUUUCAUGUG
rnacentral:rRNA from 1 species